UACGGAGGAUGCAAGCGUUAUCCGGAAUGAUUGGGCGUAAAGGGUGUGUAGGUGGCGCCGUAAGUCGGGUGUGAAAUUUCGGAGCUUAACUCCGAAACUGCAUUCGAUACUGCGGUGCUUGAGGACUGGAGAGGAGACUGGAAUUCAUGGUGUAGCAGUGAAAUGCGUAGAGAUCAUGAGGAAGACCAGUGGCGAAGGCGGGUCUCUGGACAGUUCCUGACACUGAGACACGAAGGCCAGGGGAGCAAACGGG
rnacentral:rRNA from 1 species